rnacentral:rRNA from 1 species
GACGAACGCUGGCGGCGUGCUUAACACAUGCAAGUCGAACGAAGAGCGACGGAAGCUUGCUUCUAUCAAUCUUAGUGGCGAACGGGUGAGUAACGCGUAAUCAACCUGCCCUUCAGAGGGGGACAACAGUUGGAAACGACUGCUAAUACCGCAUACGAUCUAACCUCGGCAUCGAGGAUAGAUGAAAGGUGGCCUCUACAUGUAAGCUAUCACUGAAGGAGGGGAUUGCGUCUGAUUAGCUAGUUGGAGGGGUAACGGCCCACCAAGGCGAUGAUCAGUAGCCGGUCUGAGAGGAUGAACGGCCACAUUGGGACUGAGACACGGCCCAGACUCCUACGGGAGGCAGCAGUGGGGAAUCUUCCGCAAUGGACGAAAGUCUGACGGAGCAACGCCGCGUGAGUGAUGACGGCCUUCGGGUUGUAAAGCUCUGUUAAUCGGGACGAAAGGCCUUCUUGCGAAUAGUGAGAAGGAUUGACGGUACCGGAAUAGAAAGCCACGGCUAACUAGGUG